AGGGAAGAGCACAGGAAAAUACCUUGGGUGAAGAGCAGGCUGCCCCUCCUGUCCCAGCUGACAGACCAGAGGUCAAUGGGUGCAAAGCAGGGGUGAACAGAGUCACUGCCGACUUGAAACUUUCCUAUCAAGUGCCCUGCUAUUUCAGUCCCCUGCCACCUGCUUGAUCACCAGGAACUAUAUAAAAGCAAUGCCUGCUGUAAUUCUGACCUGUCUACUCAAGGACUAUGUCAAGAACCAGGCUUGCCCAGUACAUGAGGACCCUUAUUUCUGCAUCAGGUCUGGGACUGCUCCCUGCCAGCCCUUCUCUUCCGAGAAGACUGCAUAGAAUACUGGGAAG